AUUCUUCUUGUCUGCUGCCAUAUGAGAUGUACCUUUCACCCUCCACCAUGAUUGUGAGGCCUCUCCAGCCACAUGGAACUCUCAUUGGAAUACAGUACAGAUGGCCUGGAUCAGUGCAAUGUGCAACAAGAGGACUAUAUCGUCUCAGUAAAAACCUUGAAGAGAUGAACCCAUUUCAGAGACCCAGCAAGGGAUCACCUGCAUAUACAGGCAUCAGCAGAAACAGGAAUUUGGGAUUUAUCCUGGAGGUAGUGGAAGCUUUUGGAGGUCUUAACCAGGACAGCACAUGUGGCUUUCCUGCAAUGGGAUCGUCCUUCAAGAGGACCUCACAGGCUCUCCACCCGGACUGUGACGUAAGCAGCUGCAGCAGCCUUGGAUGUUUCUGGAUAGCCAGCCCCAUGAGAACAGCUUUAAAAUAGGAGACUGGCAUUGUGAUGAAGUGUGGACUUCGCUGUCAUAUAGACCUGGAUUUAAAUCCUGGCUUCAGUGUUUAUGGAUGACGUUGGACAAGUCAUUUAACCUCCUUAAGUCUCAGAGUUCUCAUUACGGAAAUGGAGCUCUUAAUAGUACCUACCCCCUAGUGUGGUUGUGAGGGUUGAGAUCAUCUAUGUUCAAAGUGCUUAUUAUACAGAGACGGGGACAUGUUCAAAAUGCAGCUGCAUCUGUGCAGAAACCAGGUGUUGCCUGUGAGUUCUGCCUCGCUGGCCAGAGGUGGAAGGAAGGAGGAAAGGAGAGGGGCCUCCAUACUUCCAGAGCCCCACUGGGGGUUACCUUCGCUUGCCCCCACUCUUUUUGUCUUGCUCUGAGGAUGCCAGGACUUUAAGGACAUUGUCAGCGAGCACAGAAAGAAUCUCAGUCAUCUGGACUGCUUUGUGCUAUAUGAAAAUCUCUGAGAACCUUCAAGAGCCCAAAAACAGUUCUCCUCCAUGCUGUAUGCCAUGGUCAGUGGUUAAAGAGAACAUUUUGUUCCACUCCUCCAGCUCUGCCUUAGAAACCCAAGCCCUGCACUCCAAGGCUCCUGGCAUCGUACACCAGCACCAGCAAUUUUCUGCCAAAAGCAUCAGCCAAAAUCUAUUCUAUCUAUUUCAGUUCCUCUCUUUUCAUCGGAUUGUAUUUUUACAGGUGAUUGCUGAUUCUCACACUGCUCUUCAGAUUCAUGUACAGCUGUGGUCUGAAUGUGUGUGUUUUCUCAAAAUUCAAGUUUAAAACUUAAUCCUCAAUGUGAUAGUAUCAACAGCUGCGGCCUUUUGGAAAGUGAAGGUGGAGCCCUCGUGAGUGGGAUUAGAGCUCUUAUAAAAGAGAUUGAAGGGAGCUACCUAGCCCUUCCAUCUCUUCUGCCUUGUGAGGACACAGUGUUCAUCCCUUUUGUCUUCCCACCAUUUGAAGAUGCAGAAAGAAGGUGCCAUCUUGGAAGCAAAGAGCAGCCCUCACCAGACACCAAGUCUGCUGGCACCUUGAUCUUGGACUUCCCAGCCUCCAGGACUGUGAGAAAUGAAUUUCUGUUGUUUAUAAAUUACCUAGUCUAAGGUAUGCUGUUACAGUAGCAGGAAUGGACUAAGACACACAUUGUCAAAAUCUUCAUGAGUUAAAGGUGAAGGUACAAUCAGAACUGGUGCAUGGAAUUGGAACCAUAGGUCUUAGUAAACACUGUAAAAAUGCACUAUUCAAAUCUACAGAAAAUGCUCUCUCUUCAAGUUCAGAAAGAAGCUACAAUCUGCUUUUCCUUUUUUUCUGAAGGGAAGUAAAAUUCUAUGUUUCUGGACUAAGAGGUCUACACCCCAGUCUUUCUCUUUCUGACAUGUAUAGUAAUCUUUGGCAAAUUACUCAAGCUUUCUUUGUUCUGGUGAAAAUAAAGUGCACAGGACAGUAUUACUAAGAGGCCUGAGCAACAUUAGAGGUUGAUAACGAUGGUUCCAAAGGCCUUUAAGAAGGUGUAAUGCUAUGUGGAUGUUUUUAUUGAAACCUUCCCUGGGUUUUCAGAAUUCUCUUUGGAAUUAGUCCUGUGGGAAUAUGCCUUUUGGGAUCUAUUCUCACCUCUUAUUCAGUCCCCCUUUUCUUGCAUUACAAUCUACAAUUUGAAGUUAUUCUGUCAUUUAAAAAUUAGGUCCAUGACCUCAUCAUCACCGGGUUUUCCUCUCCAGGCCAUUUCCAGUAGAAUGUUGGUCAUAUUCUCAUGUGAGAGAACAAAUCAGUUAUUCAUUACAUCUGAUCAAUGAGCUAGUACUACACCAUAAGGAAGUGUAGUAAAACCAGAAACUGGGAAACACCCGAAAAAAUUUGCUUUGUCCUGUGUUUUAAUUUGGGGUAUGAUAAAGUGCCACAGGACAUUAAUCCAGGGACUGAGAUAGACUCUUAAGUUUGGCAAUCAGUGAAAGAACUUGCUGAAUCUCUCUAGAAUUAACCUAAAGGAGCCAGCCUCUUUUCUCAUGAGAACAAUUUAUUUUAGGGUUAGUGGUGAAUUAAUUCUACAGUGUUUAAUUCCACAUAUAAACUUCAUUUUCUAUAUAAAUGUUUUGUUGUAACAUAUUCAAUUACUUCCUUUUGUUGUUUUUCUGCAACAUUCCCUUUUUCACCUUUUCUAACCUCUUAAACCAAAUAAAAAACUCACUUAUCUUCU
rnacentral:lncRNA from 1 species